AUCUUGACUAGAAACAAGCUCCCUCAGGAAGCUGGUUUCAUAUGGUGGUUUAGAUUUAACUAUUCAUUGUCUAGCACCAUUUGAAAUCAGUGUUCUUGGAGGAAGAAUGCCUGCUGCGAUCAUC
rnacentral:precursor_RNA from 7 species